rnacentral:rRNA from 1 species
UUUCCGUAGGUGAACCUGCGGAAGGAUCAUUAUCGAGUUAUUUGAACAGGUUGUAGCUGGCCUCUUACUUGAGGCAUGUGCACGCUUGGCUCAUCCACUCUCUAACCCCUGUGCACUUUUUGUAGAAAUGACAGAAAUCAAGAUGUAAAAAAUCUUGGUGGAAGUCUUUUCUAUGUUUUUUCUUACAAACUUCAGUUUAAGAAUGUCUACUUGCAGACAAUGCAAAUUAUAUACAACUUUCAGCAACGGAUCUCUUGGCUCUCGCAUCGAUGAAGAACGCAGCGAAAUGCGAUAAGUAAUGUGAAUUGCAGAAUUCAGUGAAUCAUCGAAUCUUUGAACGCACCUUGCGCUCCUUGGUAUUCCUUGGAGCAUGCCUGUUUGAGUAUCAUGGAAUUAUCAACCCCCUAAAAAUUUUUCCCCUCCGGGAGGUCGAGUCAUGUGUGGGGCUUGGACUUAGAGGUUUAUGCUGUGCUAUCUUCCCCUCAGCUCCUCUCAAAUGCAUUAGCAGUGAACUUUACACAUUGCCUUCAGCGUGAUAAUCGUCUACGUUGUCGCAUUAUGUAUUCAUACGUUCUCGCUUACAAUCGUCUCUCUGAGACAUUUUUUCUAACUUCUGAUCUCAAAUCAGGUAGGACUACCCGCUGAACUUAA